AAAAACAAUUUAAUACAAAAACACAAGCAGGUUCCCCUCCUCUCCUUUGCCUUUGGUCUGGCUCUCCCCAUCGCUGGGUUCAGUGCCUGACUGAAUGGAAAACCCGUCGUCUUGCAGCCACUAACCUGUGAGCGCCGGGUACCUGGAGACCAGGCCCCUCUGCUGGGGGCCCCCAGGAGCGGUGCCCCAUCAUUUUGCAGCCCACUGACUCCCAGCCUGGUGUGAAAACUGAGGCCCGGAGAGGUGAUGUGAUUUGCCUAAAGUCAUGCAACUAGUGGCAGAGCCAGGCCUAG
rnacentral:lncRNA from 1 species